rnacentral:ribozyme from 1 species
GGCAGCCAUUAAAUUAUACAUAUAACAACAAUAAAAAUAAGAGGAUUAUGGUACUACUAGUAAAUAAUGCGAUAAGUGAAUGAUAAGUUCUCUUUCUUUUGGUUUUAUUCUUUUGUUUCUCUUCUUCUUUUUCUUCUUAUUCUGCAAUCAAUAACA